rnacentral:tRNA from 1 species
GGCAGCGUAGCUCAGUGGUUAGAGCAAACGACUCAUAUUCGUUAGGUCGGAGGUUCAAAUCCUCUCGCUGCUACCA